GGACGCGGCCUUCACCCCACGGGGACGAGCACCCGACGCCGGGAGCCGCCAGCACGUGGUGGGAGAGCGGCGGUGACAGCGCGGCCGAGGGCUCUGCCCCACGGGUGACGCUGGGGGACGACCGUGGGCAGCCCCGAAACCAAGGGCCCGCAGAGAGCGGAGGCGUCGCCACCGAAACGCGGAGCUGGAGCCGGGCAGGCGCCGAGCAACGCCGCCAACGCGCUCGUUAGCUCGCUCGUUAGCUCGCCCGUUAGCUCACCCUGCUCCUUCCCGCGCCAUCAGCAUCUCCAAGCAGCGGAGGUGGCACAAACAGCCCCAAAAGUUCCGAAAAAUUCCGAAAUCUGAGCUCCUCGCACUCCCUUUCCUCUGCCACAAAGACCCCCCCCUCCACCCCCCCGAUCAGCCCCCAAAGCACUCGGCGUCGCGGCUCCUGGGGUGGGAGCAGUCCCUACACCGCAGCCUCUGUCUGCACUGGAGAUUUGGGCUCGUGUGUGAUGGCAAAGAGCGGGGUAAAGCGCCUGACGCCAAUUAACAGGGGGUAAUUACAGGCUUCAAAGCUCCCGUUGCAGCUCAGGGGGGGAGCGGCUCGCUCCGUGUCCAGGUGGGAAUGGAUUUAAGUGUAUAAACGGGGGAAAAGAGCGGGGGAAAGCCCCUGACACCACAGCAAAAAAGGGGAAGGAAAGCGCCGAAUAUCGAUGAAUGCAGAAAAUCACCGACUCCGAGCUUCCCAUUGCAGCUCCCAGGGGAGCAGCUCACUCUGUGCGCGGGCUGGAUUUGAUUCGGGGACGCGGACGGCGGCAAAGAGUGGGGGGAAAGCACCCGGCGCCGCGGCAGAAAGGGAAGGGAAGCGCCUCGUAUCAAUUAACAACGGGGGUCAUCAAACCGAAGCCUUCCCACCUCCCAGGGCAGCUCCCGGGGGAGCAGCUCGCCCGGAUCGGAUUGAAGCGUACGAAUGGCGGCAAAGAGCGGAGCAAAAGCGCCCGAUAGCAAUUAAUGCGUGGAGAUGAUUGACUUCCAGCCUCCCGCUGCAGCUCGCGGGGGAGGAGCUCCCUAUAGGGCACCCUCCACAACCGCUCUGGAGUCGAUUUCGGUGUAUUAAUGGAAGCAAAGAGCAAGGAAAGCACUUGUAGGGCACCCUCCACAACCGCUCUGGAGUCCGUUCAGGCGUAUUAAUGGAAGCAAAGAGCAGGGAAAGCACUUAACAUUAAUUAAUAGGGGGAAAUCACAGGCUUCCAGCCUCCCACUGUAGCUCACGGGGGAGCAGCUCGCUCCGUGUGCAGGUUGGAGUGGGUUCAGGCAGAUAAACGGCAGCAAAA
rnacentral:lncRNA from 1 species